rnacentral:rRNA from 1 species
AUGGUGUACCAGGAAAUAUUCACAAAGAAGCCAGAGAAGAAAAGUGUGGAUAGGUGGAAACCGCCUCAGGAUGAGAUGUUCAAGAUUAACGUCGAUGGCUCUUUUGUGCCAGGUGAUAACCAUGCUGGCUGGGGCGUAGUGGCGAGGGACUCGACGGGCGCGGUCAUCUGUGCGCGUGCAGGUCGACAGGAACAGGUUGGUGACACCUUCGGUGCUGAGGCCAAUGCUAUGGCACAUGGCGUCACGCUAGCUGCCGACUUGGGAUUGCUGAGAGUGAGCUUCGAAACUGAUUCCCAGCUUCUGGCGGAUGCCAUGGACCUGCGAAGGGCCGACUCCUCUGCAUACUCCGCAGUCAUUGAGGAUACCAAGCUACAGAUGAAGUUGUGGUUCUCGCGCCAUGUAAUCUUGUCUUGUAGGAGAGAGGCGAACUCGGCUGCCCAUGAACUAGCUAGUUUGGGUCGUUUGUGUGAGAUAAACCACUCGAUGCAGUGGGACGAUGAUGUACCAGCCGCUGUGGCGGCCUGUGUCCAGGCUGAUUUGCCUGGGCACCGUUAA